rnacentral:rRNA from 1 species
UACAGAGGUCCCAAGCGUUGUUCGGAUUCACUGGGCGUAAAGGGUGCGUAGGCGGUCGGGUAAGUCUGAUGUGAAAUCUCACAGCUUAACUGUGAAACUGCAUUGGAUACUAUCCGGCUCGAGGAAUGGAGGGGAGACUGGAAUACUUGGUGUAGCAGUGAAAUGCGUAGAUAUCAAGUGGAACACCAGUGGCGAAGGCGAGUCUCGUGGACAUUUCCUGACGCUGAGGCACGAAAGCCAGGGGAGGCAAACGGG